rnacentral:rRNA from 1 species
UGCCAGCCGCCGCGGUAAUACGGAGGGUGCAAGCGUUAAUCGGAAUUACUGGGCGUGAAGCGCGCGUAGGCGGUCUGAUAAGUCGGGUGUGAAAGCCCCGAGCUCAACUCGGGAACUGCAUCCGAUACUGUCAGGCUAGAGUAUGGUAGAGGGAAGUGGAAUUCCACAUGUAGCGGUGAAAUGCAUAGAGAUGUGGAGGAACACCAAUGGCGAAGGCAACUUCCUGGACAACUCCUGACGCUGAGGUACGAAGGCUGGGGGAGCGAAAAGGAUUAGAUA